rnacentral:rRNA from 1 species
AGUGAACGCUGGCGGUAUGCCUAACACAUGCAAGUCGAACGGCAGCACAGUAAGAGCUUGCUCUUACGGGUGGCGAGUGGCGGACGGGUGAGGAAUACAUCGGAAUCUACUUUUUCGUGGGGGAUAACGUAGGGAAACUUACGCUAAUACCGCAUACGACCUACGGGUGGAAGCAGGGGAUCUUCGGACCUUGCGCGAUUGAAUGAGCCGAUGUCGGAUUAGCUAGUUGGCGGGGUAAAGGCCCACCAAGGCGACGAUCCGUAGCUGGUCUGAGAGGAUGAUCAGCCACACUGGAACUGAGACACGGUCCAGACUCCUACGGGAGGCAGCAGUGGGGAAUAUUGGACAAUGGGCGCAAGCCUGAUCCAGCCAUACCGCGUGGGUGAAGAAGGCCUUCGGGUUGUAAAGCCCUUUUGUUGGGAAAGAAAAGCAGCAGGUUAAUACCCCGCUGUUCUGACGGUACCCAAAGAAUAAGCACCGGCUAACUUCGUG